UACGUAGGUGGCAAGCGUUGUCCGGAUUUACUGGGCGUAAAGAGCGCGCAGGCGGUCGUUCAAGUCGAGUGUGAAAGCCCCCGGCUCAACUGGGGAGGGUCACUCGAUACUGAUCGACUCGAAGGCAGGAGAGGGAAGUGGAAUUCCCGGUGUAGUGGUGAAAUGCGUAGAUAUCGGGAGGAACACCAGUGGCGAAGGCGACUUCCUGGCCUGUUCUUGACGCUGAGGCGCGAAAGCGUGGGGAGCAAACAGG
rnacentral:rRNA from 1 species